UCGAGCGCGAACGUGCCUUCGGGUACAAGUAGAGCGGCGGACGGGUGAGUAACACGUAGAUUAUCUACCCUCUGGUGGGGAACAACCCUGGGAAACUGGGGCUAAUACCGCAUAUGGCCUACGGGUCAAAGCCUUCGGGCGCCAGUGGAUGAGUCUGCGGCCCAUUAUUUAAUCCUUGUUGGUAGGGUAAUGGCCUACCAAGGGUACGAUGGGUAGCUGUUUUGAGAGGAAGAUCAGCCACACUGGGACUGAGACACGGCCCAGACUCCUACGGGAGGCAGCAGUGGGGAAUAUUGCGCAAUGGACGAAAGUCUGACGCAGCUAUGCCGCGUGUGUGAUGAAGGCCUUCGGGUUGUAAAGCACUGUCGGGGGGGAAGAAGAUCUGACGGUACCCCCCAAGAAAGCACCGGCCAACUCCGUGCCAGCAGCCGCGGUAAUACGGAGGGUGCAAGCGUUGCUCGGAAUUACUGGGCGUAAAGCGAACGCAGGCGGACCGUUAAGUUGGGUGUGAAAGCCCAGGGCUCAACCCUGGAACUGCAUUCAAAACUGGCGGUCUUGAGUACGGGAGAGGGAAGUGGAAUUCCUGGUGUAGAGGUGAAAUUCGUAGAUAUCAGGAGGAACACCUGUGGCGAAAGCGACUUCCUGGCCCGAGACUGACGCUCAUGUUCGAAAGCGUGGGGGAGCAAACAGGAUUAGAUACCCUGGUA
rnacentral:rRNA from 1 species